AUAUCUCUGUGCUUACAUAUACUAAAAUUGGAACAAUACAGAGAUUAGCAUGGCCCCUGUGCAAGGAUUACAUGCAAAUUUGUGAAGCGUUCCAUAUUUUU
ensembl:snRNA U6 U6 spliceosomal RNA